UGAGCCGGCCAGGUGGCCGCGGCGCAGCUCGACUGCGUCGAGGAAGGUCGGGACUCCACAGAGCAGGGUGCUGGCUAGCGGCCAGUCGGGGUGACCCGCAGGAAAGUGCCACAGAGAACAGACCGCCGAUGACGGACCUCGGUCCGAACAGGCAAGGGUGAAACGGUGCGGCAAGAGCGCACCAGCGUCUCGGGCGACCGGGACGGCUCGGCAAACCCCACCCGGAGCAAGACCGAACAGAGGGAUGGGCUGCUCGCCCGCUCGCAAGAGCACCCUCGGGUAGGUCGCACAGAUGGAUGGCCACCACGGCGCCCUCGGGCGCCGGACAGGAUCCCGCCUACCGGCCGGCUCACCGU
rnacentral:RNase_P_RNA from 1 species